rnacentral:rRNA from 1 species
GAAUUUUUCACAAUGGGGGCAACCCUGAUGGAGCGACGCCGCGUGGAGGAUGAAGGCCUUCGGGUUGUAAACUCCUGUCAUGCGGGAACAAGCAAGUGAUAGUACCGCAAGAGGAAGAGACGGCUAACUCUGUGCCAGCAGCCGCGGUAAUACAGAGGUCUCAAGCGUUGUUCGGAUUCAUUGGGCGUAAAGGGUGCGUAGGUGGUGACGCAAGUCUGGUGUGAAAUCUCGGAGCUCAACUCCGAAAUUGCACCGGAUACUGCGUGACUCGAGGACUGUAGAGGAGAUCGGAAUUCACGGUGUAGCAGUGAAAUGCGUAGAUAUCGUGAGGAAGACCAGUUGCGAAGGCGGAUCUCUGGGCAGUUCCUGACACUGAGGCACGAAGGCCAGGGGAGCAAACGGG